rnacentral:rRNA from 1 species
AUUGAACGCUGGCGGCGUGCUUAACACAUGCAAGUCGAUCGGUAACGCGGGGGCAACCCUGGCGACGAGAGGCGGACGGGUGAGGAACGCUUGGGAAGCUGCCUAUCAGCGGGGGACAACCCGGGGAAACUCGGGCUAAUACCGCAUACGCUCUACGGAGGAAAGCCGGGGACCGCAAGGCCUGGCACUGAUAGAUCAGCCCAAGUCGGAUUAGCUAGUUGGCGGGGUAACGGCCCACCAAGGCGACGAUCCGUAGCUGGUCUGAGAGGACGAUCAGCCACACUGGGACUGAGACACGGCCCAGACUCCUACGGGAGGCAGCAGUGGGGAAUAUUGGACAAUGGGGGAAACCCUGAUCCAGCGACGCCGCGUGGGUGAAGAAGGCCUGCGGGUUGUAAAGCCCUUUCGGUAGGGACGAAAGCUCUCGACCUAACACGUCGGGAGGUUGACUUAACCUACAAAAGAAGCACCGGCUAACUCUGUGCCAGCAGCCGCCGUAAAAC